AUAGGAAGCCUCACUUUAAAAUGGAGCAGGGAAGACAGCGCGGGAGCUCACACCAGGGUCGGCACACUACAACCCAAACGUGUCAAGAAGAAAAUCUCGGGGGCGGAUUCGAGAAUAACUGAUCUUUGGAAGAAGACUACCAAACCAAAAACUUCAGAUCGAACCAGUGAUGAUGUGGAGAAUUUUGACUCCUGACAGUAAAACAAGAUUCAUUUUUUUGAUA